AUGUCGUUCUCUAGGAAGUACUUUAAAAGGGUGCCGAUUUACGUAGUAGAGGCUCAUGACGAAGUUUUACCGUUCAUUUACCGUUGUUUGGGAUCGAAACACCUUCCGUUUGAAGCAAACGUGUUUGUGCAUUUGGAUUCUCAUCCCGACAUGCUUAUUCCGAAAACAAUGUUGGCGGAUACUGUGUGGGACAAGAAUGAAUUAUUCAGUGAAAUAAGCAUCGAAAAUUGGAUACUACCUGCUGCGUAUGCGGGUCAUUUUAAGCACCUCAUCUGGGUUAAACCACCGUGGGCAAAUCAGAUGGCCGAUGGCGUAACAACCUUCUUCAUCGGCAAGCAUAAGGACAACGGAUCAAUAAGGCUCACGUGCCCCGAACCGUAUUUCGUCAGCGAGGGCCUGUACACCAUGAUGGAGGAGUUGGAGAACACGCGCGAGGUUACCCUACACGUGAUGACCAUCGGCGGCUUCAUCGAUGAUCCGGCGAAGAGGGACGAUUUUACUGCUAUUAGUUCAGCUCUACGACAGUAUCUUCCCGAACGGGAUACUCCUUACAUUUUGGACGUCGAUCUGGAUUUCUUCAGCACUAAGAAUCCCUUCAAAACGCUGUACGAUCGCGCCAAUCUCUACGAUAAGCUUGCAUCCCUCUACGCUUUUGCACGGCCAGAUUCAACAGAUCCUGAGGUCCUGAAAGAGGCAACUGAUGCGAGAAACGAACAACUCAACGAACUAGAGAGCCUGUUUAACUAUUUGGAUGAGCAUCGAAGUCUACAGGGUUAUGAAGGCGAGAAGUCAUCACGAUACGAAGCAGUGGAAUUAAUUUAUCGUGAGUUGACCAGCGUGUACAAGCAAUCGGAAAUCGAUUGGAAGAUAAUACACGAUGCAGGCUGCACCAGAGAUGAUACCGAUUUACCUGAUCACGUUACCAAGCCGCAAGAUCUCGAUCGCUUGAUUACUGGAACGUUUAGAUCAUUCUUGGCUGCUUUACCAGCUCCGCCGACCAUUGUAACAAUUGCAAGAUCUAGCGAAGACGAGUACUGUCCCAUAGAAGACGUUGAUCAAAUACAACUAGGAGUUCUCGAUGAACUUCGUCAACGUCUGGAAAACGUCGACAUCCAAUUGGCAUACCAGGAAGAGGAAACGCAUUAAGUAUUUCAAAAUAAAAUAUCCUUCCCCUUUCAUAAUGUAUGAAACACUCAUUUUAAUACAAAAAAGGUUUCCAUCGUACCAUCUAGUCUCGUUAAUCUUGUUUCUUUGCAACCUUUACGCCGUUUCUUCAAAACGAACCAUCCGGUCAAGCACCAUUGACGAAGACCAAAUGAAAAGCUGGUAAAUAUCAAUUACACUUUCCCAGAGGGCAAAGAGAAACAAUCGUAGUUAUCAGAGUGAUAUAGAUGCAAUCGAUGGAAUACAUCAAAAGAUCAGAAGACGAAGAGGAAGAAGGAAACUGGUACGUCUUUGAUCACAGCGACGAUUUACAUAAGAUCGGUGCCACUGGUCCAUUAUAAGAAGCGAGCACAAUGCCAACCAGAAGGUUAGCAUUUUUUUUUUUUUGCACCGAAUACCCCUUCCACCCCUCGGCUCUUUCCAUCGGUCCACCAUUUGCAUACCGUAGGCUAGUUUCCCACACGUCUUAACAGCCAUCGCUCCUUCUUCUUCCUUUCUUCUCUCCCUUGUUCACUUCACAAUCCUUUCAACUAGCAAAGACAAAAAAGUCUAAGAAUACGAGAAAAAAAAACAUCCUUCUUCCAAGAUGCUGGCGUUUCCUGGCGAAACGCUCCUGCGUGCGCUAUUCAAAGCUGCAGUGUAAGCGUUUUUGUUUUUGCUAUUGAAUCUUGACUUGACAAAGAACGCGGAAAUCCUUGUUAAAGGAGUAUAAAAAUCGGGGGUAAGAUGGUCGAAGUUAUGAAAUCCAUAAGCGACGGUAUUUGUGCGAAAGGUACACUUUAAUAAUAAUAUAUUAUUAUAAUUAUUAUUAUUAAAUUAUAUAAAUUAUUAUUGAAAUAUAUGAUUAUAAAUUUUGCUUAUGUUCUCACGGAUACACACCUGCUUUCUUUCUGUAUUAUACCACAAUUACCAAGUCACUUCCGGCUAUGAUAGAAACUGGAAACCCAUAAUAUUCCAAAUGAAAAGUAACACAUUGAAUAGAAUGAAGUAGCCGAAAUUCCAUUGGUACGUGAUUCACCAUACGUUCCCAAAGGGCUAGCCAAAAUGAUUCAACAAUUAAGUGAUCGUAGAAUCGUGUAGUUAAGGGUGGCGGCACACAAGGUAACGGACGAUAACGCGCGAAUAAACGUUAAAUGGACAAGGUGAAUGCGGAAGUGCGGUUUGCAAGGAAGGGUGGUACAAUUUUAAAGAACCGCAAGGAAAGUUUACGAGCUGCCAGGUUCGCGUAAUGACUGUCGUUAAAGCACGGGUGCGGACCUCUCGUCGGAGAAGCAGACUUUUGUAUGCUAAUGACAGGGUGGUCCGAUUUCAACCACCCUGAGUAAAAAAUCUUAGGGGUCAACAGACCCAUCGUUCGGCCGAGUUUUAAGUCUCCCUCGAGUACCAUUGACCUCGAAUUAAAAACAGGCUCGACCUUCGACCCGUCGAAAACUUUACGACCAAACGUACUUCGGCCAAAUUCAUUGACUAACACUGUACAGCCUUCAACGAAUGUUCCUUAUUCGUAGGAAAUUAACUUUCUGUAGGAGAACCGGUGCUCGCGGCAUCCGCUGUGCGAGCUUCACGAGGCCCUCGGGACAACUGCGUACCAUUCGCUCAAGUAAUAUCUACAUUAAUAUUCAUUAAUUCGAACCGACUGCGUUUAUUUAAGGGAGGUGUAUACUUAUGUUUCAAAAUUUCGAAAUUUACGAUUUUUGCAUUUUUUAAUAUUUUUAAUACGUCGAUUUUUAUACGUAAUAUUUUUAAUAGUUCUAUGCAUUUCUUUUUAUACUAGUUAACAAAAAUAUAUUUUAUUUUUCGGAGAUUGUGAUGCUUUUUUAUAUUCAAAGUAUCUACUGUUGUGUUGUAUCGUGUUUUAAAGGGAGAAAUAGGAAAAUAGAAUUAUAGGAAAAAAUAUAAUAGAAAUUAUUAUUUCACAUCGAGCUGUGAACGUAAUUUUAAACGUCUAAUUCUCUGUCACGUCUGCUCGGAUUCCAUUCACCCAGGUGACACCGUAACCUUGGGUUCCUGGGGAAUUAUUCAAAACCAGGCCUGGCUGGCAAAAGUACAACCGUCCCUGGCAUCGUAAUCCUGUAUCCGAUUUGCAUGAAAGAGAAACGCAAAAAAACAAUGGUGACAGAGUAUAACGAAGAACAUCGAUAAAUACUUAUUUCAAACAACAAACUCUGUCAAAUUUUACAAUUUGCUUAAAAUAUUAAAUACUCUUAAUUUAAUUCUUAAACAAAGUAACCACCAUAGUAGUUAGGGAUUAAAAUGAAAAGUCUAAAAUCUCUCAUUUUGAUGAGUUUAAUUACUCUACUGUUAACAAACAGAAAAAGAGUUAUAUUGAAAAUUUUUAAAUCACUUAGCGACAAUUCGCUGCCUCUACUAAAAACAAGUCACACGUCGUCCCAAAAAACCAUGCCACCCUUUUCCUGGCAUACCUGGCGAUUAUGCGCGUGACGAAAGAGAUCUUCAGAGAGGCGAGUAUGUUAAUCAGCAGGCAUAAUGCGAUAUCGAUACGCCGUCGAAAGCCAAUUAUAGCACGGGGAUCCGUCGCAUUUGGUAUACGCUGUUUCAUCUCUCGAGAAACGUCUCCGUGAGACGCGCAUAAAGGGUCGCACAGGCGACACAUCGGUGAGAAAAUGAAUAGCAAAUAGAAAAAAAAUAGGAGGAAGAGCGAAAGGAUGGGGCCCUUAUAGACAACGCUAUAGGCGGAGACCUCGUUGGCCGUUGUUCGAAAGUGCUAUUUGUAUUUAUUCGGGGCCUUUGUUCGUGCCUGGAGGCUCAUGGGGAGGAGGGUGGGGCAAGCAACGAGAGGGAAAGAGAGAAAAAAAUUAUUCAAAGACGAGACAAGGGGUGAGGUCCACUAGUCGUUACGGGGCUACAUAACGUUUCGGUCGAAAAAAUUGUUGAACACGUGAGUUUCGGUGUAUUAAAUUGAAUUCCUUGUUAAUUAAAAUAUUCGCAAUACUGUUAGUGUAAAUAAUUUUCUUAAGAGGGUAGCAAUAGGCAUUCGACGUAAUUUUGUAAAAACUUUAAUGCAUGAUUUUUCCAAAAGUAAAAUAACUGGAAAAGUGUUAUAUUUUCUCUAUAUUAAAAAAUGAAGGUGCAUUGUGAAAUGUCAACGUUAUGCAUUUAAGGGUUAAAUUUGAUUGGUGAAACACAAACUGGGAGGAGAAAAAACACGUGAACAUGCAAUAAAGUUAAUCCCAGGAAUCGAAUUACAGGGAAGUGUUCGCUCCAUCAUGCAGAUUCCCUCGUUCUCGUCGGUGCAGUAUAUGACGAGAUGAUUCUAUGUGUGUGUGAAUGCGUCUCGUGCAGCGGAUGCAACUGCGAGUGGUCAGUAGCUCGCAAAACGACUGACCGCUCGGUGCAUCCUCUUGCCGCUUCAUAAACCUCGUGAGUGACACCGAUACAAAACUACGUAUAUUUAUUUUUUAAUUAUCAUAAAAACAUUUCGCUCGUCCAAGUGUUAAAUUCCGUGAAUUUAUAAAUAUAGUGACUCUCUUUUUCCUGUGUCAUACAAAAUUUAAUUGUAAUCCGUUGAACGUUAAUGAAAAUAAAAGGAAGUUAGUUAUUCGUGUAACAAAGUUUUUAAUCAUUUCUACAUGCUUCAAGUUUAUAUUCCAUGCGGUAUCCGGCACGCUUUUUCGACGAGAACGGACAAGUAAUUUCAUAAUGUCACAAGACGAAGUUGUGACAGUUCUCUUACAUGGUCGAGACACGGACGAGUUUCCCUGGCUGAGAUUUGAUGGAAAAAAAAAGAAAUAAGGAAAAAAGGUAACACGGUUUCGUUAUAAAUAUUCAAUCAUAACCGUGACAUUUUUCUCUCUCGAUGCGUUAUGUGAAAGCUGAUUCACUGAUAAUCUCGAAUUCACAGAACAUAUGCUGGAAUUACAAAAAGCAAAGGUCCGUGUAUCCGUUUCGUCGAAAUUAGAGAAAAUUAACGAACCGUCUGCACGCUAUCAUUCUAAAAACACGAACCCCUUGCGCGUUCACAGACUCGAGCUUCCCCUUUAAUGCAACGCGGACGAAUUUCGAGCGAACCUUUAAACCGCGUCUAUUGAUAAACCAUAAUUAAGCAAGUUGUGUAAUAAGCGACGAACAAGGUAAACAUCGUCCUAGUAUAAUGAACCAGUUUCGAAGUACAGCAAUUUAGCAUUUCGGGGCGAUAAAUAGGUAGAAGGUUCGAAAGACGACGAGAUGGAAAGAUUUUUCAUUUUCUUUCCAUUUUACUUGUUAUUCAAUCGCGCGAAGUGAAGCUGCCAGAAUCCAUCGGCGAUAAGAGCGGCGUAGGGUAGGAAGGGAUGAAAGUGGUUGGUGGGUCUAAUACACGCGGGGGUGCGUGUAAUUCCGAGGCCACGCCAUAUUUUAACAUCGUUCCGAGUUACAUUAUGUUUCAGCAAAAUGGUCGGCGCACACGUGGCAGCGCCGUCGACGUGGAGGGUGGUUUAUCUCGAAUACACAAUCCCACCCCAGGCCACCCUCUCCGCUGCGAGUUCGCCGGAAGGGUGGAGGGAGAGCGGACCUGCAUGGAAGGCGUUUCAAGGGGAACCGGGUGAAAGGGUGGAGGUCGACGACGACCCCCCGGCAACCAACGCCCACUACUAGCCACCCUCCUCCCCACCCUGUUAGCUUUCGCGACGUCUAUAGAGGGGAGGAAGGGAAUACCGGCACGGUACGCGAGCUAACGACGUUCUUUCGCUUUUCCCGAAGAAAAGAGUGAAAUGGAGCGAGCAGAGAGGAAAAAGGGAGUACAAACCACGUUUCCACUCUUUCUUUCUUACUUACUCCAUCGUGCUCCGCUUCUUUGUGAACAUAGACACGAAACUGGUGGGAGGAGGUGGCUGCACCAGGUAAUGAUGUACCGCGGUAAAUUUCCUGCGGAAAAUUACCCUCGCAGUUGGCCGCGGAGUCACGGGCGAAAGGUGAUCAUUUGCUUUUUUGUAACGCGCUCGCAAACAUACGUAUAGCCACGACCAAAGAUGCAACAAUGCCGACGCGAUUUAUUCAGUUAUUUGAUACGAGGAUCCACAUUCAAUUUUCGGGUUUUUUACCAAAACUUUUGUUAGUUAAUAGAUGUUACAUUUGUCACAAUGUUAUUUUUAGUAGAAAAUAUAAAAGGGGAUUUUUAAAAAAUGAAUUAAAUUGGAAGAUAGAUAUCAUUGUGAUAGGAAAAUUUUCAUUUAUUCGUCUAUUACAUUUCAUCUAUUAAAUUAGAAAAUAUAAAUUUCGAAGAUUGUAACUAGUAUACGUUUAUAUGGAUCUAAUAAUUGUUAGAAUGCAUGCAUAUUGAUGGCAUAAGUAUUAAUACAUUUGUAAUACUAAUUUUAUAAAAGUUUCUAUUACACAUUAUAUAUAUUCUACAUAUUCUUGUUAAUUAAAUAUUAAUGACACUUUUAAAAAAAAGAAAAAAAUGUACACGUCUAAUUACUAACAGUAUACGAACACUUAUGCCACUCGCUUUAAACAAGGGCAGACAACAUCAUUGAAAUCGCAGUCCUUUCAACUGUCCAAUUAAUUCGUUCGAGUAGUAUUGGAGAGGGAAAACAGGACAUCAGGUAAGAAAGAAGAAAUUCUUUCCUCUAUCGAGCAAUGUAUGGAGACUACUCGAAGGCGUAUCGUGAACGAGACAGCCGAUAAUUUGUUUUGGGCCUCUUCUGAACAGAGGUACACGAGGAAGCGAACUUUGCAUUGUUACGGAAUCGAGUGUCGUAUUCGCUGACUGCCGACAAUUUCGAAGUUUUAAUUUGAGUUUGAGGAUUCAUUAGGGACAUUAUGCUCCACCCGACAAACUUCCAAACAGCCACGCGAACGCUAACCCCCCUCUUCGUCUUUCGUUCGAAGUCGCCCAAAACACCCCCUGCUACCACUCGAAUCACAGAGCACAGAUCGAAUAAUUCCGGAGUCGCGGAUCCUGUCCUUUUUUCUCCAUUAUCCAAUGGCAACUUUUUCUUCGAAAGACAUCGAAUUGGCCGCUUAACGAUGCGACACUUCGAAACGCAAAUUCACGGUAAUCAAACGUCGCGUUUAAGAAUAUUAUUGCAUUUUAUUGAAAAAUUUGAAAGUAAUUGCAAGGUAAGCAAAAUUAGUGGUGAAAUAAGUCUAUAAUCCGUCUAACUAGACGAGUCAAUAUAUGUUUACAAAUUCACGCGCUCGAGGCAGGGGCGAAGCACAGUUGUUUUCAGUUCUUCAAACGCUUCGGUCGAAGUCUGUAUACUGUGGAGUCUGCUUCGAGCGCGUGAAUAAAAUUUUUUCGCGUAAGCUUUCUUUUUUAACACGUUGACUGCUACAGUCAAAGUGGGUAUGAGUUGUGGGACGUAUUGAAGCUCUAAUUAUUAAGAAUAGGAAUAGUUAAUUUUCAAAUUUCAUAUAUUUGAUAUUUUACAUCAUUUGUACAAUAGCAAUAUUAUUUAAAUUAAUGUUUUUAUAUUGUUUUCGUUUAGUUAUUCAGGCACGUGUAAUUUGCGGUGCCGGUCACCGGUGGCCCCCAUGGCAUUCACCGUGUUAAAAGGGUAGGGAAGCAUGUACUACCUAAAUUUUGUCUCUAAAUAAAUUCCUUCAAUGCUUUGACCCAAAACAAAGGUAAAAAAAAAAAAAAUGGAAUUUACAACGUAUUCGCUAUUUCAA